rnacentral:rRNA from 1 species
CAGUAGCCACGGUAAUACGGAGGGAGCUAGCGUUGUUCGGAAUUACUGGGCGUAAAGCGCGCGUAGGCGGUUACUCAAGUCAGAGGUGAAAGCCCGGGGCUCAACCCCGGAACUGCCUUUGAAACUAGGUGACUAGAAUCUUGGAGAGGUCAGUGGAAUUCCGAGUGUAGAGGUAAAAUUCGUAGAUAUUCGGAAGAACACCAGUGGCGAAGGCGACUGACUGGACAAGUAUUGACGCUGAGGUGCGAAAGCGUGGGGAGCAAACAGGAUUAGAUACCCCCGUAGUCCCUGUCUCUUAUAA